ACUCAAAUGAAUUGACGGGGGCCCGCACAAGCGGCGGAGCAUGCGGCUUAAUUCGAUGCAACGCGAAGAACCUUACCUGGGUUUGACAUCAUGUGAAAACUUCCAGAGAUGGGGGGUCCUUUUUGGGCGCGUGACAGGUGGUGCAUGGUUGUCGUCAGCUCGUGUCGUGAGAUGUUGGGUUAAGUCCCGCAACGAGCGCAACCCUUGUCCUGUGUUGCCAGCGAGUGGUGUCGGGGACUCAUGGGAGACUGCCGGGGUCAACUCGGAGGAAGGUGGGGAUGACGUCAAAUCAUCAUGCCCUUUAUGUCCAGGGCUGCACGCAUGCUACAAUGGACGGUACAGUGAGUUGCGAUGCCGUGAGGUGGAGCGAAUCUCAAAAAGCUGUUCUCAGUUCGGAUCGAAGUCUGCAACUCGACUUCGUGAAGGUGGAGUCGCUAGUAAUCGCAGAUCAGCAGUGCUGCGGUGAAUACGUUCCCGGGCCUUGUACACACCGCCCGU
rnacentral:rRNA from 1 species